rnacentral:rRNA from 1 species
CCUAUGGGGGGCUGCAGUGAGGAAUAUUGGUCAAUGGGCGCGAGCCUGAACCAGCCAAGUCGCGUGAGGGAGGACGGCCCUACGGGUUGUAAACCUCUUUUGCCGGGGAGCAACGGGCGCCACGUGUGGCGUCACUGAGAGUACCCGGAGAAAAAGCAUCGGCUAACUCCGUGCCAGCAGCCGCGGUAAUACGGAGGAUGCGAGCGUUAUCCGGAUUUAUUGGGUUUAAAGGGUGCGUAGGCGGUCGGAUAAGUUAGAGGUGAAAUCCCGAGGCUCAACUUCGGAAUUGCCUCUGAUACUGUUCGGCUAGAGAGUAGUUGCGGUAGGCGGAAUGUAUGGUGUAGCGGUGAAAUGCUUAGAGAUCAUACAGAACACCGAUUGCGAAGGCAGCUUACCAAGCUACUUCUGACGUUGAGGCACGAAAGCGUGGGGAGCAAACAGGAUUAGAUACCCCAGUAGUC